ensembl:rRNA 5S_rRNA 5S ribosomal RNA
AUCUACAGCCAUAACACCCUGAACUCAAGCUAAGCAGGGUCCUGCCGUGUCAGGACUUGGAUGAGAGAUUGCCUGGGAGUACUGGGGGCUUUUAGUU